CCGCAAUUCCCGUCACGGAGUGCGUCCUCUAGCGCGGGGCGGAAGACCCGCGAAGUGUUCAAGCGGCCGCAGAGCGGCCCAGAGUUCGCAGGUCUGGGGCUCUCUUCCCAGAGAGCUCGUAGGGGAGGACAGUCAAGGGACUCAAGCGUCUCUCUUGACUCCCCUUCUCUCGCUGUGCAGUGGCGGCGCCGAGGGGUCGACGCUCAGGGCUAAUCUCUAUGAGUCACCCUCGAGGCCCCGGGUAAUAUUGGGUGGAUCACAAGAACUAAUCUUUCAUGAUUUGGAAACCGGAAGGAAAGAAGCACUUUUGUAGCUGACUUACCUCAAUGACAUGACCAGUGUCUGAGCCUACAACUGCGCUAUCUUCCCUGGAUUUUUCUUCACCUUUUCCUUACUCAUGAGCCAGAUGGAGCUAAGAUUGGAACUGAGGUCUGGCUAUAAAGCUGCCUUUAUGUCCAUCGCAUCCUAAGGGCUGCUGUUGCUCUUCUGCCUCUACACUGAUGGACUACGUCAGAACAUCAAUAUGCUGUAUUGAUGAUAAUGGAUGAUAUUUUCUUAGUUGUGCCAAUAUUACUCUUGAGGGAAGAAAUGAUGCCAAGUCCUGUUCUUGCCAGUGAGACGCCUGCUCCAGCUUUGCCUUCCACCAUGAGUAAAGGCUCCCUAAGGCCUCCCAAGAAACAGAUGCCACCAUGCUUCCUGUACAGCCUGCAGAACCAUGAGCCAAUUAAAC
rnacentral:lncRNA from 1 species